CCUACGGGAGGCAGCAGUGAGGAAUAUUGGUCAAUGGACGAGAGUCUGAACCAGCCAAGUCGCGUGAGGGAUGACUGCCCUAUGGGUUGUAAACUUCUUUUAUAUGGGAAUAAAGUGUUCCACGUGUGGGAUUUUGUAUGUACCAUAUGAAUAAGGAUCGGCUAACUCCGUGCCAGCAGCCGCGGUAAUACGGAGGAUCCGAGCGUUAUCCGGAUUUAUUGGGUUUAAAGGGAGCGUAGGUGGCUUGUUAAGUCAGUUGUGAAAGUUUGCGGCUCAACCGUAAAAUUGCAGUUGAAACUGGCAGUCGUGAGUACAGUAGAGGUGGGCGGAAUUCGUGGUGUAGCGGUGAAAUGCUUGGAUAUCACGAAGAACCCCGAUUGCGAAGGCAGCUCACUGGACUGCAACUGACACUGAGGCUCGAAAGUGUGGGUAUCAAACAGGAUUAGAUACCCUUGUAGUC
rnacentral:rRNA from 1 species